AGAUCAGAUAUGCUACUUCCUCCUACAAAACUGGUAUUGUAAGUAACAGAGAACUGAGCACAUCUAGAACAGAAAGCAUGAAUGUGGAUCAAACUCUUUCUCAUGCUAAGAUGUCUAACAUAUCAAAUUGUACUACUAUAGUUGAAACCUCAAUACAAGCUGAGCGUUGUAAACCUCAAUGCUUUUGGCCUUGGUACUAAGAGUACAAAAAUGGAGGAUGGCCCCACUGGUGCAGAAAGAUGCAGCUUAUUAAGUAAAGUUCCCAGUUGUAACACAUCCAACUCUGACAAGAUGAAAUGUCCCAAGGAGCAGCAGAUAUUUG
rnacentral:lncRNA from 1 species